UACGGGGGGGGGCAAGCGUUGUUCGGAAUUACUGGGCGUAAAGGGCUCGUAGGUGGCCAACUAAGUCGGACGUGAAAUCCCUCGGCUUAACCGGGGAACUGCGUCCGAUACUGGUUGGCUUGAGUUUGGGAGAGGGAUGCGGAAUUCCAGGUGUAGCGGUGAAAUGCGUAGAUAUCUGGAGGAACACCGGUGGCGAAGGCGGCAUCCUGGACCAACACUGACGCUGAGGAGCGAAAGCCAGGGGAGCAAACGGG
rnacentral:rRNA from 1 species